rnacentral:tRNA from 1 species
GGGUACAGCUCAGUGGUGGAGUGCAUGCCUAGCAUGCAUGAGGUCCUGGGUUCAAUCGCCAGUAUGUCCA